UACAGAGGGGGCAAGCGUUGUUCGGAAUUACUGGACGUAAAGGGCGCGUAGGCGGCCUUCUAAGUCGAACGUGAAAUCCCCGGGCUCAACCCGGGAACUGCGUCCGAUACUGGAAGGCUUGAAUCCGGGAGAGGGAUGCGGAAUUCCAGGUGUAGCGGUGAAAUGCGUAGAUAUCUGGAGGAACACCGGUGGCGAAGGCGGCAUCCUGGACCGGUAUUGACGCUGAGGCGCGAAAGCUAGGGGAGCAAACGGG
rnacentral:rRNA from 1 species